UACGGGGGGAGCAAGCGUUGUUCGGAUUUACUGGGCGUAAAGGGCGCGUAGGCGGCGCAACAAGUCACUUGUGAAAUCUCCGGGCUUAACCCGGAGCGGUCAAGUGAUACUGUCGUGCUAGAGUGCGGAAGGGGCUACUGGAAUUCUCGGUGUAGCGGUGAAAUGCGUAGAUAUCGAGAGGGAACACCCUGCGGCGAAAGCGGCGCGCUGGACCUCUUCUGACGCUGGAGGCGCGGAAAGCUAGGGGGAGCAAACGGG
rnacentral:rRNA from 1 species